rfam:Trichobilharzia regenti genome assembly, scaffold: TRE_scaffold0020441
GUACUGCAGAGGAGUCCCAAACUAGGACGAGAGAGCUGUCCAGUAC